AGCUUUGCGCAGUGCAGUAUUGUAGCUAUUGAGGUUUAUCCGAGGCGCGAUUAUUGCUAGUUGAAAACUUUUCAAUCUUAACACUUCAAUAAUAACAUUUAUAAACUUUGGACACAUAGCUUUUUAC
rnacentral:snRNA from 1 species